CCUACGGGGGGCAGCAGUGGGGAAUAUUGGGCAAUGGGCGCAAGCCUGACCCAGCAACGCCGCGUGAAGGAAGAAGGCUUUCGGGUUGUGAACUUCUUUUCUCAGGGACGAAGCAAGUGACGGUACCUGAGGAAUAAGCCACGGCUAACUACGUGCCAGCAGCCGCGGUCAUACGUAGGUGGCAAGCGUUAUCCGGAUUUACUGGGUGUAAAGGGCGUGUAGGCGGGAACGCAAGUCAGAUGUGAAAACCAUGGGCUCAACCUGUGGCCUGCAUUUUAAACUGUUUUUCUUGAGUACUGGAGAGGCAGACGGAAUUCCUGGUGUAGCGGUGAAAUGCGUAGAUAUUAGGAGGAACACCAGUGGCGAAGGCGGUCUGCUGGACAGCAACUGACGCUGAGGCGCGAAAGCGUGGGGAGCAAACAGGAUUAGAUACCCUUGUAGUC
rnacentral:rRNA from 1 species